AUGGAUGAGAAUAUACCAGCAAGGGGUUACCCAAGGAGUUCCCGCAAAAUGGUUAGUUGCUUCCAUCAGUACAAAGUUGAAAUAUUCAAUGAGGUUCUUGAUAGAAACAUAGCUGAGAUGAAUAACCAGUUCAGUGAAACUUCAACAAGGUUAUUGAUAUGCAUUGCUAGUCUAGAUCCUAGAGACUCAUUUAGCAGAUUUAAUCAUGAGAACCUACUUGAGCUUGCAUCUAUGUACUCAGUCGAGUUCGAUCCAGAAGAACAAUAUCAUUUGGACGGUCAGCUCAAGAUAUACACUGAUAUGAUGAAAAGGUCUGAUGUUUUUUGCAGUUGCGGCAGUCUCCCUAAUCUUGCUCUCAAGUUGGUUGAAACUAAGGAACAUUUACACUUUCCUUUGGUUUACCGACUCAUCACACUUGCUUUGACUUUGCCAGUAGCGACGACAUCUGUUGAAAGAGUUUUCUUAGCCAUGAAUAUCAUUAAGACAGAUUUGAGAAAUAAGAUAGCUGAUGAUUGGUUGAAUGAUCUGAUGAUAUGCUAUGUAGAGCGAGGUAUAUUUGCUGGAAUUGAUGACAAGAAGAUCAUAGAACAUUUUCACAGCUUGAGAGACCGUAGAGGCCAUCUACCAAACCCUCACCGUAUCUAUUAG
rnacentral:rRNA from 1 species